rnacentral:tRNA from 1 species
GCUCCAGUAGCUCAGGGGUUAGAGCACCGUUCUUAUAAAGCGGGGGUCGGUGGUUCAAUUCCACCCUGGAGCA